AACACACACGAAAUACACCCUCUCCUUACCCUUCUCCCCUCGUUAAAACAGAUCCCCAAAUCCCAAAACUAGGGUUCCUCAUAUUUCAAUUUCAGGGUUCUUUCAGUUCGUUUAUGUGAUUCUUAAAGUCGCUCUUAUCUUAUUUCUUUUAAUUUUCCUUGGCAACAUUAUAUUUUAAUCUGCAAAGAAGUUGAUAAUGUCAGAAACUAGCUGCUCGUCCAAGAGGAAGUAUCAUUGCGGUGAAAUUGCUCACUUAUUCACUUCAAAAACUUCUUUUAACCCCGGAAGGAGAUUUUAUAAGUGUCCUAAGCCUGAAGCCAAUUCUUGUGGAUAUUGAGAGUGACGUGACGAAGUAUUCCCCGAUAGAGCAUUGGUGGUGAUAAGUAAUCUAAAGGCUCAAUUGGAUGCAACUACGGUCAAAAUCAAUACUUUGAGUACGUCGUUGGAUGCGGUUAAGAUUGAAAGAGAUAAGUUAAAGGAAAAGGUGAAGACUAUGGAGGCUAUAAACAAUUCCCAAAUGAACAAAGCAAGGGAAUUAGAAGAGAAAUUUAUGAAGUUGAAGAUGUUUAUUAUGAUUUUUUGUGCGAUGUUUGUUGGAUUUAUUGUCGCAUUAUUGUUGAAGUGAUGUAGUUUGUUAGGUUGUAUGAAUUCUCAAGUCUUUGUUAUAUUAGUUUGAAGGCUGUAUUUUGAGUUCUCAAGUUAGGUUGUAUGAAAUCAGUGUUUUGAAGUUGUUUUGACUCCCAUAUCUUUAAUUUUGAGGCUGUUUUAAUUUGUGUUUU